rnacentral:rRNA from 1 species
AAUCUUGGUGGUAGUAGCAAAUACUCAAGUGAGAUCCUUGAGGACUGACGUGGAGAAGGGUUCCAUGUGAACAGCAAUUGCACAUGGGUGAGUCGUUCCUAAGCCAAAGGCAAAAACCAUACUCAUAAACUUGUGGCCACAAGAAUGAAAAUUGUAAUCUGUGGAGUGAGCCUACAAGGAGUUUGGCGAAAGGGAAUCCGGUACUCAUUCCGGAACCUGGACAUGGGGAGUAGUGUUGCUUUAAGCAUCACAUAGCCGCAAGGCGUUUACCAUCCUGGAGAAUCCAACCAGAGAGCUGGGAAGAGUUGUCUUUUCUGCUUAAGAGGAAGAGGGCCUUGUGAACUGGGUCGGUCAGAGAUA